GACGAACGCUGGCGGCGUGCUUAACACAUGCAAGUCGAACGGAAAGGCCCUGCUUUUGUGGGGUGCUCGAGUGGCGAACGGGUGAGUAACACGUGAGUAACCUGCCUUUGACUUUGGGAUAACUUCAGGAAACUGGGGCUAAUACCGGAUAGGAGCUCCUGCUGCAUGGUUGGGGUUGGAAAGUUUCGGCGGCUGGGGAUGGACUCGCGGCUUAUCAGCUUGUUGGUGGGGUAGUGGCUUACCAAGGCUUUGACGGGUAGCCGGCCUGAGAGGGUGACCGGCCACAUUGGGACUGAGAUACGGCCCAGACUCCUACGGGAGGCAGCAGUGGGGAAUAUUGCACAAUGGGCGGAAGCCUGAUGCAGCAACGCCGCGUGCGGGAUGACGGCCUUCGGGUUGUAAACCGCUUUCGCCUGUGACGAAGCGUGAGUGACGGUAAUGGGUAAAGAAGCACCGGCUAACUACGUG
rnacentral:rRNA from 1 species